GACGAACGCUGGCGGCGUGCUUAACACAUGCAAGUCGAACGGAAAGGCCCUGCUUUCGUGGUAUGCUCGUGUCGCGCACGGGUGUGUAACACGUGUGUUCCGUGCUCCUCAUUUUGGGAUGCCUUCAGGAAUCUGGCUCAUAUCCGGGAUGAGAGCUCCUUCUGCAUGGUGGUGGUUGGAUAGUUUCGGCGGUUGGGGAUGGACUCGCGGCUUACUAGCUUGUUGGUGGGGUAGUGGCUUACCAAGGCUUUGACGGGUAGCCGGCGUGAGAGGGUGACCGGCCACAUUGGGACUGAAAUACGGCCCAGACUCCUACGGGAGGCAGCAGUGGGGAAUAUGGCACAAGGGGCGGAGGCCGGAUGCAGCAACGCCGCGGGCGGGAUGACGGCCUUCGGGUGGUAAACCGCUUCCGCCUGGGACGAAGCGUGUGUGACGGUAAUGAGUAAAGAAGCACCGGCUAACUACGUG
rnacentral:rRNA from 1 species